GGCACAAUCAUGGUGUUUACAACUAAUUGAUCACAACCAGUUAUAGAUUCCUUUGUUCUUUCUCCACUCCCACUGCUUUACUUGACCAGCUUCAA
ensembl:misc_RNA Y_RNA Y RNA